GACGAACGCUGGCGGCGUGCUUAACACAUGCAAGUCGAACGGAAAGGCCCUGCUUUUGUGGGGUGCUCGAGUGGCGAACGGGUGAGUAACACGUGAGUAACCUGCCCUUGACUUUGGGAUAACUUCAGGAAACUGGGGCUAAUACCGGAUAGGAGCUCCUGCUGCAUGGUGGGGGUUGGAAAGUCUCGGCGGUUGGGGAUGGACUCGCGGCUUAUCAGCUUGUUGGUGGGGUAGUGGCUUACCAAGGCUUUGACGGGUAGCCGGCCUGAGAGGGUGACCGGCCACAUUGGGACUGAGAUACGGCCCAGACUCCUACGGGAGGCAGCAGUGGGGAAUAUUGCACAAUGGGCGGAAGCCUGAUGCAGCAACGCCGCGUGCGGGAUGACGGCCUUCGGGUUGUAAACCGCUUUCGCCUGUGACGAAGCGUGAGUGACGGUAAUGGGUAAAGAAGCACCGGCUAACUACGUGCCAGCAGCCGCGGUGAUACGUAGGGUGCGAGCGUUGUCCGGAUUUAUUGGGCGUAAAGGGCUCGUAGGUGGUUGAUCGCGUCGGAAGUGUAAUCUUGGGGCUUAACCCUGAGCGUGCUUUCGAUACGGGUUGACUUGAGGAAGGUAGGGGAGAAUGGAAUUCCUGGUGGAGCGGUGGAAUGCGCAGAUAUCAGGAGGAACACCAGUGGCGAAGGGCGGUUCUCUGGGCCUUUCCUGACGCUGAGGAGCGAAAGCGUGGGGAGCGAACAGGCUUAGAUACCCUGGUAGUCCACGCUGUAAACGGUGGGUACUAGGUGUGGGGUCCAUUCCACGGGUUCCGUGCCGUAGCUAACGCUUUAAGUACCCCGCCUGGGGAGUACGGCCGCAAGGCUAAAACUCAAAGGAAUUGACGGGGCCCCGCACAAGCGGCGGAGCAUGCGGAUUAAUUCGAUGCAACGCGUAGAACCUUACCUGGGUUUGACAUGGAUCGGGAGUGCUCAGAGAUGGGUGUGCCUCUUUUGGGGUCGGUUCACAGGUGGUGCAUGCCUGUCGUCAGCUCGUGUCGUGAGAUGUUGGGUUAAGUCCCGCAACGAGCGCAACCCUUGUUCACUGUUGCCAGCACGUUAUGGUGGGGACUCAGUGGAGACCGCCGGGGUCAACUCGGAGGAAGGUGGGGAUGACGUCAAGUCCUCAUGCCCCUUAUGUCCAGGGCUUCACGCAUGCUACAAUGGCUGGUACAGAGAGUGGCGAGCCUGUGAGGGUGAGCGAAUCUCGGAAAGCCGGUCUCAGUUCGGAUUGGGGUCUGCAACCCGACCUCAUGAAGUCGGAGUCGCUAGUAAUCGCAGAUCAGCAACGCUGCGGUGAAUACGUUCCCGGGGCU
rnacentral:rRNA from 1 species